GUCUACGACCAUGCUACCCUGAACAAGCCCGGUCCUGUCUGAUCUUGGAAGCUAAGUAGGAUUGGGCCUGGUUAAUACUUGGAUGGGAGACCACCUAGGAAGACCAGGUGCUGUAGGCA
rnacentral:rRNA from 1 species